CAUAGUUUUUAUUUUGUAUUUUACCAGGUAAGUUGCGUGUGUAAAGCUGUCAUCAAGGCAAAGGCUACCUUGAAGAAUCUAAAAUCUAGAAUAUAUUUUGAUUUGUUUAACACUUUUUGUUUACUACAUGAUUCCAUUUGUGUUAUUUCAUAGUUUUGAUGCCUUCACUAUUAUUCUACAAUGUAGAAAAUAGUAAAAAUUAAGAAAAACCCUUGAAUGGGUAGUGUCCAAACUUUUGACUGGUACUUUGUGUUUGGCUUGACAAUGACAGUGAAGGAGGCAAAAGCACAAACUGAUCUGGGACCAGGCUGGCAAAGACUGCCAACACAUUUCUGCACCAAGCGUGACGGCUUGAUAAGGGCAGUGCUGAUUCAAUUGCAAUGGAGGAUUUAAAGCUAUUAUCCUCCAUACAGGAAGAGGAGGAUGAAGAGGGGGAGAAGAGGAGGAGGAGGAUGAAGAGAAUAAGUGGAGGAUAUCUGGGCUGCUGCUGCCUGACUGAGGGACAUAUUCUUAGAGAGAUGCGGAAAUGAGGGAGAGAGAAAGGGAGAGAGAGGGAGGGAUGGAGGGAAGGAAAGACAAUAUUCAUAGAUCUAGAGAUGAGAGAGGCAGAGAGAGAUAAUUAACAGAGAUCUAGAGAUGAGAGAGGCAGAGAGAGAUACAGAGAUCUAGAGAUGACAAAAGGCAGAGAUAAUAUACAGAGAUCUAGAGAUGAGAGAGGCAGAGAUAGAUAAUAUACAGAGAUCUAGAGAUGAGAGAGGCAGAGAGAGAUAAUAUACAGAGAUUUAGAGAUGACAAAGUCAGAGAUAAUGUACAGAGAUCUAGAGAUGAGAGGCAGAAAGAGAUAAUAUACAGAGAUCUAGAGAUGUGAGAAGCAGAGAGAGAUAAUUAACAGAGAUCUAGAGAUGAGAGAGGCAGAGAGAGAUACAGAGAUCUAGAGAUGAGAGAAGCAGAGAGGGAUAAUAUACAGAGAUCUAGAGAUGACAAAGGCAUAGAUAAUAUACAGAGAUCUAGAGAUGAGAGAGGCAGAGAGAGAUAAUAUACAGAGAUCUAGAGAUGUGAGAGGCAGAGAGAGAUAAUAUACAGAGAUCUAGAGAUAAGAGAGGCAGAGAGAGAUAAUAUACAGAGAUCUAGAGAUGUGAGAGGCAGAGAGAGAUAAUAUACAGAGAUCUAGAGAUGAGAGAGGCAGAGAGAGAUAAUAUACAGAGAUCUAGAGAUGAGAGAGGCAGAGAGAGAUAAUAUACAGAGAUCUAGAGACGAGAGAGGCAGAGACGAGAGAAAGAAAAGGAAGAACACAGAGGGAGAAGAAGAGAGAAAGUGAGAAAAUGACAGAACAUCUGUGGAAAAACAGGGAAACACACAGCUGUAGCCGAUUAAGAUGGUAGCUGCCAGCCAGAGAGAGAGGAAGAGUGAGAGCUUGCUGUUGCUGCUGCUGCUGCUGCUGUUGCCUACUCCUUGUGUGUUUCAGCCCCAGUGAAGCCUGCGCUUGGAAGGACAUUCUGAUCACACACAGGCAUUUACCUGUCAGUGUGGUGUAGUAAGAGUGGGAUGAGAUCCCCCCUCCCUCCACCCUCCCUACCGGCGU
rnacentral:lncRNA from 8 species